rnacentral:rRNA from 1 species
CCUACGGGUGGCAGCAGUGAGGAAUAUUGGUCAAUGGGCGUAAGCCUGAACCAGCCAAGUCGCGUGAGGGAUGAAGGUUCUAUGGAUCGUAAACCUCUUCUAUACGGGAAUAAAGUGCGGGACGUGUCCCGUUUUGUAUGUACCUUAUGAAUAAGGACCGGCUAACUCCGUGCCAGCAGCCGCGGUAAUACGGAGGGUCCGAGCUUUAUCCGGAUUUAUUGGGUUUAAAGGGAGCGUAGGCGGCCGUUUAAAUGGGCCGUGAAAUGCUGUGGCUCAACCAUGGAAUUGCCGUUGGAACUGGGAGGCUUGAGUCUGUUGGAGGCAGGCGGAAUGCGUGGUGUAGCGGUGAAAUGCUUAGAUAUCACGCUGAACCCCGAUUGCGAAGGCAGCCUGC